rnacentral:rRNA from 1 species
GAUGAACGCUGGCGGCGUGCCUAAUACAUGCAAGUCGAGCGAACGGACGCGAAGCUUGCUUCUCUGAUGUUAGCGGCGGACGGGUGAGUAACACGUGGAUACCCUCCCUAUCAGACUGGGAUAACUUCGGGACACCGGAGAUAAUACCGGAUAAUCUUUUGAACCGCAUGGUUCAAAAGUGAAAGACGGUCUUGCUGUCACUUCUCGAUGGAUCCGCGCUGCAUUAGCUAGUUGGUAAGGUAACGGCUUACCAAGGCAACGAGGCAUAGCCGACCUGAGAGGGUGGUAGGCCGCACGGGAGCGUAGACACGGUCCAGACGCCUACGGGAGGCAGCAGUAGGGAAUCUGCCGCAAUGGGCGAAAGCCUGGCGGAGCAACGCCGCGUGAGUGAUGAAGGUCUUCGGAGCGUAAAACUCUGUUAUUAGGGAAGAACAGAUGUGUAAGUAACUGUGCACAUCUUGACGGUACCUAAUCAGAAAGCCACGGCUAACUACGUG